GUGGGAGCUGGCUUGCCUGCGAUUGCGGUGGGUCAGCCAGAAACUUGGCACUGACACACUGCAAUCGCAGGCAAGCCAGCUCCCAC
rnacentral:antisense_RNA from 1 species